rnacentral:rRNA from 1 species
GAAGCCCCCCUCGAGAUGAGAUUUCCCAAUUAGUAAGACCCCUUGAAGACGACGAGGUAGAUAGGUUGGAGGUGGAAGUGCAGCAAUGCAUGGAGCUGACCAAUACUAAUCGGUCGAGGGCUUAUCCACAA